AAGAGGCAUUUCACACCACAGUGAUAAGGCACAACCCUCAAAGAUUGCUACUGCCCUCUUUUUGGAUAGAGAGGAUGAGCAAGAUCCAGCUCUGUCAUGGCUAACAGGCUAUGGACACACUACCAGGGAUGCCUGGGACUCCAUCCAGCAAGGAAUUUCCUUCCUCAGCCUUUGAUCUAGGAAGAAAUGUCAGCUAAUACUCCAAAUAUUAGAGCCUAUUCUUUAGCUGGAAAAUACCAUUGUUUUGUUGUUGUUUAAAGGCUACUCAAGAAUUACAGUGAUGGGCACUCCGUGGAGGCCUGUAAUAAUCAACACCAUGAGAUAUUCAGGUAUUUUGAUCCUAAAGUCUUGUCUAUACUAGAGAUACAGUUUUUUUCUGUAUCUCAAUGAGGUUAAAGACACACUGCUCGUGGCUAUGUGUGUAGCUACACCUUAAGUGAGGGCUUUUAUCAGCAAAAGACCCAGUCCUUAACUCACAUAAUUGCACUGCUAAGGCUCCUUGAGUGCAGCCCAGCUUAUAUAGAUUCUGCAGGCGGAAGGACUCCAGAGAAUUGCUCCUUUCAUCAUGACAGUGCCAGUGCUGACAUUCUAAGUGCUGUUAACCUCUGCUGCUUUAGGACUGGUGUGUAGGAGCGCAUCACCACUAAAUCAGGCAUUCAUUCUCUCCUGGGAAUGUUGUUCAGGAAUCUAGCUGGUGGAAUGUACUGACCUUGGUUAAGCUUUUCCUUUGAGAACUAUUGCCCUGUUUUUCCCACACAUGCCAGCCAUCCCAGACCCCACUUAACAAGGUACAUUAUGAGGUCCCCAGCGGAUAACUUCAUGAUUACUUUAAAUUAUAUGUUAAUAUGUUGUUCCUCUCUUCAUUCAAAGGUUUCAUUAUCUUGCAGCAAAGGAUGUGAAAGGAAAAUUAUUCACAUAUCUCUGUACCUAAGAGAAAAACGUAUGAUGUCUUCAGCAGCAAUUCCUCUCAGUCAUCAACAAGAUAGGAACCAGAAGGGCUGGGCUGUGAAUCAGAUCUGGGAAUGAAGCCAGGAGGGAGAGAGGGAGAAGAGGUAUAAAAGGAAGGAGGCUGCACUUCACUGCAAGCUAGUAUUGCCACUGAAACCCCCACGUACCAAAAUACAGCCUUCUGCAGUGAUGGAGAGAGGAGCCACAGCUUUUCCAAAAGGACAAUCUGUAAGCCAAGACAGGGCACAGUUAACCAGUGCAGCCCCUCCACAAACUUAGCUUUGUGACUCUGGCUUGCAACAAAGGAUCUUGCACUACUGAGAAAGAAUGUUACUGCUUAUGUCCCAAAAAGACAGCCUACUCACAGACAGAGAGAAUGAGAAGUGCUGGCUCAAUAGUUUGUUCUGUGCUGUCCAUUAGGAAACUGAACUGAAAAGGUUUUAGCUCAAAGUUUCCAUUUUUGUUCACUAGCCUUACUCUCCAUAAUCUGCUCUGAUUUCAUUAUCCUCAAUAAGAAAUAAAAAGAAAUGAGAGGAGAAAAAUAUGUCAAAAGACUAUUAUCAGUCUGGUGAGUCCUAUGUGAUUCUCAGCAGUUCUGCUGUGCAGUACAUUUCACUCUAUAGUUGUUGCCACUGUGAGUAACUUCCAAGUCCACAAAAGCCACAAAGGAAUGGAAGUCAAUAGAUUUAGUCCUGCCAGCCUCUCCACUAGCAGUCCACAAAUCAGAGGAGGUUGAAAUUGCCUGCUGAAGUGCAGUACUACUCAUACUGAACAAGGGAGAUAAAAAUAAACUUCCUGUACUGAAAAGAUGUUCAUUAGAGCAGAAGAGCACAGGUAGGAAGCAAACUAUCGAGUGAUCUGACUCUGGCAGAACAGCAGGAUGGCUGGAUAGGCGUGGCUGCUCUUUAGCCAGCAGUUUGGUAUUGCAGCUGGGCUAUGUACAAGCUGGCUUCUGUCUGUUUCCCAUUUGCACUGCUUUCCUUAUGUUGCAUUUAGUGGCUGUGCAGCCACAGGGAGAAUCUGUUCAUCUGGCUGACAACGGGCAGACCAACUAUGCCAUAAAAAUGAGGAGUUUUCAGCCAUAUCGGCCAUCUGGAUCAACUCACCCUGAAGCCACUCCAUUGCUAGAUCCAGUGCAAGGGAAAGGGCAGGAAAUGCAGCUGGGAGCAGUGGUGGAGUGCAACCACUGCUCUUUGGCAUUAGCUGAUGGCUGUAACUGCUGUGCCCAAAGGGACAACCUGCUCCCAUCCUCGCUGCCCUGCUCCUGGCAGCAUGCUCUUGCUGCUGCCAGUGGUUUAGCGACCGCUUGGUGAAGCAGGCCUGCCCUCUGAGCCAGCAGAGAACUCAGCCAGCUGCUUUAAAAGGUGAAGAGGCUUGCUGAGAGGUCCAGCUAGCUUAGCUGACAGCCAGGAUGUUGAUGGGAGUGUGUGGUGCCCUGGGAGCAGCCCAGGGCUACAGACAUCUAAUGAAACCUCAUUCUCAAUUUAACUCAAUGCAGGAGAAAUAACCCCAGACAACAACAAAGAAAAGUGAGCUACAGCUGAGCAGCUGAGAACCAGCCACAUGCUCUCCAUUAAAGAGUGCAUCUGACAAUCAGAGGAAGAGGGACAGGCUUACUGCAUGCUUUUGAAAGGUGUGUUAUCCUUCUGUUUGCUGAAUAGAAGGAGUGACGUGGAUAGCGCCACGUGUUGCUCACACAGCCUUGCUCUCACCAGGAGAGAGGCAGGAGGAACAGCAGUUUUGCACAGAAAUCUCCUCUCUGCCUAUCAUUUCCCAUGCCUCUGGAUAGUUUGGAGUUUCAAAGGUAGAUACAGUUCAUUUGAAAAUAAAGCCAAAAAAGAAAAGGACACAGGAGGUAAGAAGCUGGUAUGUAACACAGCACAGAAGAGGAUAUGUCUGGAGCAUCAGAGCUCAGAGUCAGCUGUGUGCCUCCUCUGUCCUCUUUGGGGACAGUUGCUAGUUGAGGUCAGACCCUGCCACAGAGGUACAACUCACUUUCUGGGGGUGUUUCAAAAGAGUAUCCAUAGGUGCUCUGAAUUUACAUGAAUAUAAAUUAUUCAUCUUGUUGUUGGUUCACAUUUUUUUCUGGGCACAUAGCCAAAAGUGUAGUUGCUAAUUGCAUCAAUUUCCCUGUUCUCUCUUCUGUAAAAUCACUUUAUUAGAGGAGUUGGUUAAAUUCAGGAAGUGCUCCAGUUCCUGGCUGUAUCUCAUUUGGCAAAGACUUGUAGAUAAAGUGCUGUGCUGCUUCUCCCAGGCCCUUUGCCUGUGAAGGGCGUGCCUGUUUACACAACUACACCGCAGCAGAUGCAAUCAUAUCAGCGUGAGAUAAUGGAACCGGUAUCGCUUCAUUUAUGAGGCUGAGCUGCUCUUUUAUGGUCACCUGGAGCUGGGAUAGCUGUCUCCAUGCUGUGGGGUGUUUGUGGUCUCUCAGAAUGGGAAUAUUUAGUGAAGAUGGACCUUAGCACCUGUAUAUUUCCUCAGGAGUUGCUCAAGCACUCUGCCAAUAAACCUGAUUUCAGCAGGAUUUGCUGACAUGGCUAAAAAGCUAUUGCCAAGAUCCUAUAUCAAAUUAACUUAUUCUGCACCUCAUACAGUAAGUUAGAGAAAUUGAUGUGAAUGUCACCAUAAAUUACUACAAAAAUGCAAGGCAUUGAAGUGUGAUCCCUGAGCUGAACGUGUCCUGAACAUCUAAAGAGUUACUGAGAACAUCUGCUGUCUGUCACACGUAUGUUAGGGUCACCAUGAGCUCCUAAACUUUAGGAAAAGCAACAAGCAGACAAAAAAAGAGCAGUCUGGUGGUAAAUGAGGUUGAGUGGUCACCAAAAUGGGCAACAAGGGCAGAUGAUAAUGAUGAUUCUAUGAUUCAUUCUAAGUCCUGGAAAAAGAUGUUUUCCAACAUCCAAAGUCAAUUUCUAUGAAAUGACUGUGAUCAAAAGAACUAUAAGGGGAAAACAAAAACAUGCUUUUAAGUCUGGAUUGUAUCAGACAUAAGCACAAAUAAAAUUUGGUUUUCUUCAUGUUUCUAGCAGAGUUGGGGGUCCACUACACUGUAGCAGAGAAUGUCAGAUCAGCUCCUAAGCAAACAGUUCAUGUCUGUCCUGUAAGGAAAGACAGGCAGACAAAACGAAAACCUUUAAUUAAACCAAAAGAGCUUGAACACUUUCUUCCUUCUGGUCCUGGUUCUAUUCAGCCAGUACAACUCCCAUGAAUAGAAAACAAAGAUAAUAAGAAGAGGAAUAGGACUGUCAUGUUAUGAAAAAAGGUCAAUCCUGUUAAUACUCACAAAAUUAAUUUAAUUUCCAAACUUUGAGGAUUUUAAUUCAUCCAUUAAUCUGGUCACCCUCCCAGAGAUACAUGUAGCCUUCCCUACCAGGCACUCCACUCCUUUCCAGCUAUGGAAUCCCUGGGCUGCUACCAUAGCACUAGGGAUGGAAAUGAUGGUCACACACAGUUUAUUGAAUGUAGUCAUUCCUAAGAAACCGAUAAAAAUAUUUCCCGAGUGAGAGAUUUGCAUUUCUGAGCCCAUAGCACAGUGCCAGACCCAGCUGCUCAGAGAUGCUCCUUUGAGAUAAUCAAAUAUUUAGCAGCCCUUGCUGCAGCAAACACCACAUUAGGCCACAUCUCUCAAAGUGGAGUUCUUCCUCUGUUUGACACCACCACCACGGGAGUGGGAUUCCUCCAAAGGCCAGCCAAAGCCACAGGAAGCACAUGGGUUUCAUCAAGGGCUGUCUGGGAGAAAGGGCUGGUGCCCUGGUACCAGGAAGAGUGGAAGAGCUGUUUGUUUACAUGAGGCCAGUGCCCUAUGAAUGUUUUGAUUCUUUACUGUAUAAUUUCAGUGAGUAGUAACUGUUAAACAUUCAGCAGCUUGAAUUAAAUAAUUGAUUUAUUCUCUA